rnacentral:rRNA from 1 species
CUAUGCGCCUUCGCCAGCCCGCUCAGAAACUUAAAGGAAGUUGACGGGGGCCCGCACAAGCGGAGGAGCAUGUGGUUUAAUUCGAUGAUACGCGAGGAACCUUACCUGGGCUCGAACGUAAGAUGACUGUAGGUGAAAGCUUACAUCUCUUCGGAGCAUUUUACGAGGUGCUGCAUGGUUGUCGUCAGCUCGUGCCGUGAGGUGUCGGGUUAAGUCCCAUAACGAGCGCAACCCCUACCUUUAGUUGCCAUCAGGUAAUGCUGGGGACUCUAAAGGAACUGCCUACGCAAGUAGUGAGGAAGGUGGGGAUGACGUCAAAUCAGCACGGCCCUUACGUCCAGGGCUACACACGUGCUACAAUGGCCGGUACAAAGGGUUGCGAAGCCGUGAGGUGGAGCGAAUCUCAAAAAGCCGGCCUCAGUUCGGAUUGGAGGCUGCAACUCGCCUCCAUGAAGUCGGAAUCGCUAGUAACCGCAGAUCAGCUACGUUGCGGUGAAUACGUUCCCGGGCCUU